AAGCAAUGUAUGCCCCCGUCUGGCUGUGAGAGGAAAAGGGAAGAGUGGGGUCAUUUCCCAUCUGUCUCAGGACCUGCAGUGCUGUCGCCUGGCUUUGUCUGGGUCCUGGUGUUCCUGGGAGUGGCUGUGCCAGCAGGGGACCUGGCACAGCCUUCUGCAGCUGCCCUGAGGCAGUCUCUAGACUUGUGGGGGUGCCGGCCCUUUGAGUCAUGGUCCCUCACAGAGGAACUGCAGCACAAAAAUGGUGCUCACAGCUGAGGAGUCUGCACCUUUUGGGGGCUCCUAGAGUCUGGACUGAGACCCCUGUUACAGUGCUGCCUGCCUGUUCUGCAAUCACCAGAAGUCCAGAAUCUACAUGCUUACUGUGGUUGCACAGCUGGUGUGGACGCCCCUUGAAGACUGACUGAUUAAUCUUUUGGUGCUGGACACUGGUCUAGUGCCCCAGGCCUACUGUACUGCGAAGUACAAUCUCUGACACUAAACUUCCUCCUACUUCAAGGUUUCUUUUUUGGGGGGCAGG
rnacentral:lncRNA from 1 species